AUCAGGGGUAAACCUGUGGAACUCGAACGAACGAACGGGGAGAUUCAUCGUAUUUCCGUUUACGGAUCCGCGGCGCGAUCGCUUAUCGCGAUUGUUGCGUCGUCUCGCGCGGCGUUCACGAUCGUGACGGUCGCGUCGUAUCGGCACGGUCCGCGGAAUGCGUGCACUUCUCCCUUAGUAAAACACCGCGACCCGUUCGCGUGCGCGCGAUCGAACGCGCCGUGCGGUUGUCCCGCUUCGAACGUUAAAAAUUCGGGGCGGAGCCGCGGCGUCGCGAUCGCGGGCGGACGGUAGAAAACUAGGUUCGCCUUCGCUCCCCCACGGGGGGGCGUCCGUGCUCAGGACCGAUGCGGUCCCGCCAGGACCUCGACGUUUAGCGCGUCGCGGGAUUCGGGCGCGGUCUGCCGUAUCGCAGCAUGCCUGGGCCUCUCGGACGGAAGGCGUCCCGGUCGGCGGUGGUUUUGUUUCGGGCACUCACAGGACCC
rnacentral:rRNA from 1 species